AUGAUUAACUCUGAUAACAUGGAAGUUAUUGACACGAUGAAGAAUAGAGGACAUUCUGCAAGAGUGGCGGCGGCAGUUUUUGAUGAUUGUUGUUUUAUGGCAGGUGAUUUUUCUUUUACUAGUUUUGAACAUUGUAAUAGGGAAGCAAAUAAAAUAGCUCAUGAACUUGCUAGGUUCGUGAAAUGUUCCAUGACAAAGGAUUGGUUCGAGGAGCCUAUGGAAAUUGUACCUCUUCUUAUAGACAAUGUAACCAUUGUUUCUAAUUAA
rnacentral:rRNA from 1 species